rnacentral:rRNA from 1 species
CGCGUGAGGAACCUGCCUCAAAGAGGGGGACAACAGUUGGAAACGACUGCUAAUACCGCAUAAGCCCACGACCCGGCAUCGGGAAGAGGGAAAAGGAGAAAUCCGCUUUGAGAUGGCCUCGCGUCCGAUUAGCUAGUUGGUGAGGUAACGGCCCACCAAGGCAACGAUCGGUAGCCGGACUGAGAGGUUGAACGGCCACAUUGGGACUGAGACACGGCCCAG